AUGAACGCUAGCGACAGGCUUAACACAUGCAAGUCGAGGGGCAGCGGGGGUAGCAAUACCCGCCGGCGACCGGCGCACGGGUGAGUAACGCGUAUGCAACUUACCUAUCAGAGGGGGAUAACCCGGCGAAAGUCGGACUAAUACCGCAUGAAGCAGGGGCCCCGCAUGGGGAUAUUUGCUAAAGAUUCAUCGCUGAUAGAUAGGCAUGCGUUCCAUUAGGCAGUUGGCGGGGUAACGGCCCACCAAACCGACGAUGGAUAGGGGUUCUGAGAGGAAGGUCCCCCACAUUGGUACUGAGACACGGACCAAACUCCUACGGGAGGCAGCAGUGAGGAAUAUUGGUCAAUGGGCGUAAGCCUGAACCAGCCAAGUCGCGUGAGGGAUGAAGGUUCUAUGGAUCGUAAACCUCUUUUAUAAGGGAAUAAAGUGCGGGACGUGUCCCGUUUUGUAUGUACCUUAUGAAUAAGGAUCGGCUAACUCCGUGCCAGCAGCCGCGGUAAUACGGAGGAUCCGAGCGUUAUCCGGAUUUAUUGGGUUUAAAGGGUGCGUAGGCGGCCUUUUAAGUCAGCGGUGAAAGUCUGUGGCUCAACCAUAGAAUUGCCGUUGAAACUGGGGGGCUUGAGUAUGUUUGAGGCAGGCGGAAUGCGUGGUGUAGCGGUGAAAUGCUUAGAUAUCACGCAGAACCCCGAUUGCGAAGGCAGCCUGCCAAGCCAUGACUGACGCUGAUGCACGAAAGCGUGGGGAUCAAACAGGAUUAGAUACCCUGGUAGUCCACGCAGUAAACGAUGAUCACUAGCUGUUUGCGAUACAGUGUAAGCGGCACAGCGAAAGCGUUAAGUGAUCCACCUGGGGAGUACGCCGGCAACGGUGAAACUCAAAGGAAUUGACGGGGGCCCGCACAAGCGGAGGAACAUGUGGUUUAAUUCGAUGAUACGCGAGGAACCUUACCCGGGUUUGAACGCAUUCGGACCGAGGUGGAAACACCUCUUCUAGCAAUAGCCGUUUGCGAGGUGCUGCAUGGUUGUCGUCAGCUCGUGCCGUGAGGUGUCGGCUUAAGUGCCAUAACGAGCGCAACCCUUGCCACUAGUUACUAACAGGUGAUGCUGAGGACUCUGGUGGGACUGCCAGCGUAAGCUGCGAGGAAGGCGGGGAUGACGUCAAAUCAGCACGGCCCUUACAUCCGGGGCGACACACGUGUUACAAUGGCGUGGACAAAGGGAUGCCACCUGGCGACAGGGAGCGAAUCCCCAAACCACGUCUCAGUUCGGAUCGGAGUCUGCAACCCGACUCCGUGAAGCUGGAUUCGCUAGUAAUCGCGCAUCAGCCAUGGCGCGGUGAAUACGUUCCCGGGCCUUGUACACACCGCCCGUCAAGCCAUGGGAGCCGGGGGUACCUGAAGUCCGUAACCGCGAGGAUCGGCCUAGGGUAAAACUGGUGACUGGGGCU
rnacentral:rRNA from 1 species